UACCUUGAUCCAAUAAAUUAUAAUUUAGGAAAGUUUGGUCCCUUGUAAAUAAUACAAUUUUAAUGUUUUUUUCACACACUAAACUCGAUAAAUUUAAUUUUGAAUUUUUAAAUAUUAGAGAAGCAAAACAACCAAUCCCAUGCUUGACGAUUGAUGCAGAAGUCAACAUUUUAGGUUACGGAGAGAAAACUCAGCGGACUUUGAUGUCAUCUGAUCAUUUGUUUACAUUUAGUUAUACAGUAAAACCUCGAUUUUACGGACACCAUCCCAAAAAAUAAAAUAAAUAAUACAAUAUUUGCAUAAACUGUCUACAA
rnacentral:lncRNA from 1 species